GUAGUUGGCACCCACCUAAGCUUGGAUUGAAGCGUAUUUCUCAGGUUUUUAAAGAAAACUACAACAAGCCUUGGCUGAGUUUUGAUGAGGCAGAUGAUGAUAUUCGGAAAAUAUGGUGGACUGAGUGGAGGAAAUGCUUUGACAUUAUUGAUACGGAAGAGGAUGAUAUCUAUCAAGCUUGGAGGUUUAGGGCUGCCAAGCGC